GGCACCAGGGCUCAAUGGUAGAGCAUUUGCCUGGCAAGCACAAGGUCCUAGAUUCAAUCCCCAGAGCUUCCA
rnacentral:tRNA from 1 species